GCCAGUGUGGUGUAGUGGUUAUAAUGUUUGACUAGGACUCAGGGAGACCAGGGUUUGAAUACACUCUUGGGCA